GACGAACCGUGCGAACGUUAUUCGGAAUCACUGGGCUUAAAGCGCGUGUAGGCGGGACGGCACGUCGGUCGCUGAAAUCCCCGGCUCAACCGGGGAAGUGGCGCCGAUACGACCGCCCUGGAGGGACGUAGGGGGGGCUGGAACUUCCGGUGGAGCGGUGAAAUGCGUUGAGAUCGGAAGGAACGCCCGUGGCGAAAGCGAGCCCCUGGACGUCUACUGACGCUGAGACGCGAAAGCCAGGGAGCGAACGGG
rnacentral:rRNA from 1 species